rnacentral:rRNA from 1 species
GACGAACGCUGGCGGCGUGCUUAACACAUGCAAGUCGAACGGAAAGGCCCUGCUUUUGUGUGGUGCUCGAGUGGCGAACGCGUGAGUAACACGUGAGUAACCUGCCCUUGACUUUGGGAUAACAUCACGAAACUGCGGCUAAUACCGGAUAGGAGCUCCUGCUGCAUGGUGUUCGUUGGAAAGUUUCGGCCGAUGGAGAUGGACUCGCGGCUUAUCAGCUUGUUGGGGGGGUAGUGACUUACCAAGGCUUUGACGGCUAGCCGGCCUUAGAGGGUGACCGGCCACAAUGGUACUGAGAGAGGGCCCAGACGUGAACGGGAGGCAGCAGUGGGGAAGAUUGCCCAAUGGGCGGAAGACUGAUGCAGAAACGCGGCGUGCGGGAAGACCGCCUUCGGGGUAUAAACCGAUUUGGUCUGUGACGAGCCGUGCGUGACGGUAAUGGGUAAAAAAGCACCGGCUAACUACGUG